GGCCUGCUGGGAGAGCACGUCCCCGCCGCCACUCUGCCGGUUUGAACUUGGCGGGCCCGAUGUGGGCUGCCGGGCUGUGGGGGGCUGCUUCGCCGGCUUCCGACGCUCGGUCCUCGGCCGGCUGCAGGUCCAGGUCUCGGCCUUCCUCCGGCCCCUUCUCCGACCUCAUGGCGGGCGCCCCGGGGCAGGGGCCGGAGACGGUGACGGUCUGCUCGCCGUCGCCGCCGCUGAGCUGCAGCAAUUCCACCAUGUCACUGUUGUCUCCCCUUGGCCACCAGAGCUUCCCGUUUGACUACGACGAUGGCGACGGGGAGGAUGAGGAGGACGUGGAGGAAGAUGCUCAGGAUUCAGAAGCUAAGGUGGCGAACCUGAGAGGAGUGGAGUUACAGGGGUGCGUCAGCAGUGUGGUUGGGUCAGAAGAUAACCAAGAACAGAAACAGGUGUGCCUACCAGAAAGCCACCUGACACCAUGGGAAGUGUGGUUUGUUGGCAAAGAAAAAGAAGAACGUGACCGUCUGCAACAGAAGGCUCUGGAGGAAUUAAAUCAACAGCUAGAAAAAAGAAAAGAAAUGGAAGAACGUGAAAAAAGAAAGGCAAUUGCUGAAGAAAAGCACAAGGAAUGGGUUCAGAAGAAGAAUGAACAGAAAAAAAAAGAAAGGGAACAAAAAAUUAAUAAAGAAAUGGAGGAAAAAGCAGCAAAGGAGAUGGAGAAAGAACAUUUGCAAGAAAAGGCAAAAGAAAAAUAUCAGGAAUGGUUGAAGAAAAAAAAUGCUGAAGAAUGUGAGAAGAAGAAGAAAGAAAAGGAAAAAGAAAAACAACGGCAAGCUGAAUUACAGGAAAAAAAGGAAAUAGCAGAGAAAAAGUUUAAGGAAUGGUUGGAAAAUGCAAAAAAUAAACCUCGUCCAGCUGCAAAGGGCUAUGGUUAUGCCAACGGAAAACUUACAGAAAAAGAAAAGAAACAAAAAAGAAGAAAAAGAAAAGAAAAUUGAAUAGAUGGAUCAGCGAACAGACUGAAAUAAGAUUGAAAUUACUUUGUUUUUCCCUAGAAGUCAAACUAAGAAGCACUUUAUAGUCCGUAAACCAAGCAGGCAGGGAGACUUGUGUUCCUGAAGAGUGAGGUUGGCCCAGUUUGGCGGGGCUUAGUGCAAUGGCUCAAUUAUCCACUAGAUGGCGCUGCUUAGCUUCCUGGGAUGGAUUGUUGUGGCGCUUUUAGGUGUAAGUGCACAUGCGAGGGAGCGGUGAAAAUGGCGUCAUCCAGCUACCCAGUCUCUACUAUCAGAACUCUGUUCCCAGUCAGCAAUCGCGCACCCGUCCUUUGUCUUCAGCUUCCACCCACUCCCCGCUUUUACACUGUUUUGACCAAGCCCUAAGCAGCACCUCCCUCCUUAGUUUUAUCUCAGAUGCGGCUGUUUUUCCUGACCCCUGACUUCUGAAGGACUGUGGCUUUGACCUGUUCUGCCCCUCUGCGGGAGGGUCUCAUGGAGCAAUGGCCGGGUGCCAGCCACACCAAGGAACAUUCGUGGGACUGUACUGCUGAUGCCCAGAGAUUGUGGCUGGGUGCCAGCCCGCCCCAGAAAAAGUUCACGCGAUUGUGUAGCAGCAGCAUUUCAGGGAUUAUGGCAAAUCACAACACGCAACUGACACCAGGCUUCACCUGCAACAACCUUUUUCUAGCACCAGCAAAUGUGGCUGUUCUCCCAGGUCCACUGGUGCCUUUGCCUUUGGGGGACCCACACAGCCUCUACCAGAUGUUCUUCCAGCAGGGUAACUGCCUCUUUCUGUAUGGCUCAAAGACUCCGGGACUUCACUCUGCUCCUGGGGAUUCGCCCUUCUCACCAGAGCACCACCAGGAGGUGGAGACUAAUUCCUCUUCCCAUGACUGUGGGCUGUACUUAGUGUCUCACUUCUAGGGAAGAGAAUAUAGAGAAAUCUGGCUGAAGUCACCUGAACCAAGUGAUCACGGUUAAUGUUACUGGUUGAUAUGGACUCCCUGGUCUGAUGUUACUGGAACUGCAGUGUCACCUCCGUGGGAUUCUUCCCUCCAACCCAGAACGUCUGUAUAAUCAUGAGAGAACACCAGAUGAGUCUGAAUGGAGAGCUGUACUACAGGAAAGCUAAUCACUACU